AGUGAACGCUGGCGGUAGGCCUAACACAUGCAAGUCGAACGGCAGCACAGUAAGAGCUUGCUCUUACGGGUGGCGAGUGGCGGACGGGUGAGGAAUACAUCGGAAUCUACUUUUUCGUGGGGGAUAACGUAGGGAAACUUACGCUAAUACCGCAUACGACCUACGGGUGAAAGCAGGGGAUCUUCGGACCUUGCGCGAUUGAAUGAGCCGAUGUCGGAUUAGCUAGUUGGCGGGGUACAGGCCCACCAAGGCGACGAUCCGUAGCUGGUCUGAGAGGAUGAUCGGCCACACUGGAACUGAGACACGGACCAGACUACUACGAGAGGCAGCAGUGUGGAAUAUUGGACAAUAGGCGCAAGCCUGAUCCAGCCAUACCGCGUGUGUGAAGGAGGCCUUCGGGUUGUAAAGCCCUUUUGUUGGGAAAGAAAAGCAGCAGGUUAAUACCCCGCUGUUCUGACGGUACCCAAAAAAUAAGCACCGGCUAACUUCGUG
rnacentral:rRNA from 1 species